rnacentral:lncRNA from 1 species
CUUGCGUCACUGCUCCUGUCUCCGUGUAACUCACAAUAAAGAGAUUUUGGCAUCAACUGUGAGCUUAGGGGUAGAAGAAGGGUAUAUGUUAGGAGGUGGGAGCGGAAUCAAUUCUUCAAAUCUUAAUGAUGGUGAAGAAGAGUGCUCACCAGAUUCCCUUCUGGUCUGGAAAAAGAAAUCCCUUCUUUUGUGGAUGUCAUGUCUACCAUCUCUCGGUGAAAAAUAUUUCAAGAGAAUCCUAAGAUGGAGAGAGCAUUGGAAGUCAUCCGGCCCAAUUCCCUCAUGCAAUUCAAAGCUUCUUUGUAAGAAAAAUGCCCCCAGAAGUUUGUUUGCAUCAUGAAGAUCAGAUUUUGAGAGAUCCAGUCUGGCUCUUCCCUGUACAAAACAUUCCUCACAAACAGAAUAUGGACAAUUGUUAAAUGUCAAAGGUAAAGUUAUUGUGGGAACUCCUUCAAAAAGUUCAAGUGAGAGCCCAUUCUAUGAGUGACCAUUUACAUCUAAUUUUUUUCUGUGCUAUGUUACUUAUUCUGAAGUGGUUGAUCCAAUUCCUAAAAGGGAAUAUUUCAUUACCUUUUAUUUCCUAUAGCAUCCAUUCUGACCCCUUUUCAGUUUAAUUAUUCCCUGAUCCCAGUCUUCAUUCACGCAUUUAUUUGAGAAAUAUUUAUUGACCAACAACUAUGCCAGGUCCUAUUCUAUGUGUAGGGACUAUAAAGUUGAACAAGACAGAGGAGGUACUGGCCUCAGAAUUUACAUUCUAGUAGAUGAGAAAGUAAAAAUAAACACAUGAAAACAUGAAUGAACCGGAUAUUAUAGACUGUGAUAGGUGUAGUUUGGGUAAAGCACAGAGUGCAGUAGUAAAGAUAAACUGGACUCAGAGUGGGGCUAUUUUAGAUGGAAUGGAAACCUCUGAGGAAAUGAAAUUUGAGCUGAGACCUAAAAGGUCACCCAAGGACUCAUGGGAAAACUCAGUUGUUUCUAUCAAAAUUUAGCUUCAUGAACUCCAGGCCCUUGCAAAUGAUGGUUACCAGGUGAGAAAUGUCUCACUGGCAACAGAAGUUGGCAGACCCAGCUCCAGUUCCAUCCCAGCCAACAUACCAAUGUCAUUAAAAUAAGGCCAUUCAUCAAGGUGGAGACUAUUACUAGAAACAAGCAUUCUAAAGUGCCAUUUGAGUGCCAGGCUCUCAACACUGGGCAUAGCACUGCUCCAUGAGGCUUUUGAGAGCGUGUACUGACGCAUGACCAAAAAAAUUAAGUCCCAUGUAAGUGACGCAACUGCUCCCCAAUUACUGUGGAAGUAUCUGCAGACUAACUAUUGUGCGCGUGUGUUUGUUUGCUUUAAUGAAUAAAUUCAGUCAACCAACCAUCUAGCUAUUGACUAAAUCCAUUCUUUUUCUUCCAAAAUGUCUAUUGGCUGAAGUUUACUGGUUUUUAUUUCUAUUUGCAUACAUAAUUUUCUAAACCCCAUUCUUAUGGAACCUUCUCUAAGUUCCUCUCUAUGGCCCUGUCCAUGUUCAUAUGGAUACACAUAAAGGCACAAAUACACCAAACUAAGUUUAGAGCAGUCUGGUGCCUGCCUAAGACUUCGGCCUCAUCUCCUGCUUCUACCCUCUUUAGUUUAGGAAAAACAGGUAACGUUGCUGAGUGCCAAGUAUUGUGCUAGUAGCUUUGCAUGCAUUUUUUCAUUUUAUCUUCACAAGUUUCUUCUAUCACCAUGAUCUGUAUGUUUGACCAUGCUGUUUCCUCCACCUGAAAUUCCCUUGGUGCUCUGCCUGGGGAACUGUCACUCAUUCUUCAAAUCUCAAUGGAAUGAUCUCCUCCUCUGGAAAGCUCUCCCUACUUCCCUAGGAAGAAGUAAUCCCUUCCUCAGUUCUGCUUUGAUUAUAACUUUAUAAGCACCUAUCACUCUGCAUGGUAUUAGUUCACUGUCAUGUCCAUUUCCUCCAUUGGGAUGUAAAUUGCUUAUGGGUAAUAAUUAGGCUUUGAAUCAUUUUAUGAUCUGGCCUAAGACAGUGCUUGGCACAUACUAUAGGCUCAUCAGAUGAUGGCUGAGUAGAAUUAAAUUGAAUCAAGUUCAAGUUAUCACUUUGAUGUUUAUCAAUUAACAUGUGUAGUGUGUUAAAUGGUGGUCACUGAAAACAUAUGUCUGCACCCUAAUUCCUGGAACCUGUGAAUAUAACCUUAUGUGUUAAGAAGAAAUAUGACCUUAAAUGGAUAUGGAGACAAGAAGCUUAUCCUGGAUUGUCUGAGAGGGACCUAGAUGCAACCACAUGUAUUCUGAUAAGUGGAGAGAAACAGAAGAGGAGGAUGCAAUGUGACCCUGUAGGCAGAAGUUUGAAUGGUGCAGCCACAAGCCAAGGAGUCCCUGGGGCCAUCAGAAGCUGGAAGAAGCAAGGAAUGGAUUCCUUCCUAGUGUUUGGAAGGAGUGUGCACUUGCCAACACCUUGGUUUGAGACUUCUGGCCUCCGGAACUGUGACAGAAUAAAUAUCUGUUGUUUUGAGCCACCCAGUUGUUGCUAAUUUGUUAAAGCAACCCUAGAAAAUUAAUAUAGCAUCCACAAUAAAAUUUCUCAAAAUAUAUGUUCCUGUGAAAUGGAAGAGUUCUAGGGAUCUAGUAGCAUAUACGGAACCCAGAUAAGUUAUACAAGUUUUUCCCUGAAAGUCUUUUCAGAUUCUUUAGCGGGCUAAGGUGCAUUGUGAAUCCCAAAAACUUUAGCGUUUUUCAGCAUCUAUUAUCACAUAAUCCUUUCCCCACCCAUGGAAUUAUAUACUAACCUGUUUUUGUAGAUGUUGAUGUUCUGUAGAACAGAGUUUUGGGGUCUGUAUGACUUAAGAUCCUUCUACAAUGGAACACAGUGAGGAGGGUAUUCAGAGGAGUCAUAGAGGGCAUUGAUCUUGCAAUAUAUACUCAGGAAAUUACCAUGGGCAGAAUAAAAUGCUUUUGAAAAU